GACGGGGGGGGCAAGUGUUCUUCGGAAUGACUGGGCGUAAAGGGCACGUAGGCGGUGAAUCGGGUUGAAAGUGAAAGUCGCCAAAAAGUGGCGGAAUGCUCUCGAAACCAAUUCACUUGAGUGAGACAGAGGAGAGUGGAAUUUCGUGUGUAGGGGUGAAAUGUGUAGAGAUCGGGAGGAACACCGGUGGCGAAGGCGGGUCUCUGGGCAAUUCCUGACGCUGAGGCGCGAAAGCGUGGGGAGCAAACGGG
rnacentral:rRNA from 1 species